rnacentral:rRNA from 1 species
GAGUUUGAUCAUGGCUCAGGACGAACGCUGGCGGCGUGCCUAACACAUGCAAGUCGAACGAAGUAUAUUUUUCGGAAUAUACUUAGUGGCGGACGGGUGAGUAACGCGUGAACAAUCUGCCCUAUACAAAGGAAUAGCCUCGGGAAACCGGGAUUAAAACCAUAUAACACUUUUGAGUCGCAUGACUAAAAAGUCAAAUUGAUUAAGAGGUAUAGGAUGAGUUCGCGUCUGAUUAGCUAGUUGGUGAGGUAAUGGCUCACCAAGGCGACGAUCAGUAGCCGGCCUGAGAGGGUGAACGGCCACACUGGAACUGAGACACGGUCCAGACUCCUACGGGAGGCAGCAGUGGGGAAUAUUGCACAAUGGGCGAAAGCCUGAUGCAGCGACGCCGCGUGAGUGAAGAAGGUCUUCGGAUCGUAAAACUCUGUCCUUGGGGAAGAUAAUGACGGUACCCAAGGAGGAAGCCCCGGCUAACUACGUGCCAGCAGCCGCGGUAAUACGUAGGGGGCGAGCGUUGUCCGGAUUUACUGGGCGUAAAGGGUGAGUAGGCGGUUAUUUAAGUCAGAUGUAAAAGGCUAUGGCUCAACUAUAGUAAGCAUUUGAAACUGGAUAACUUGAGUGCAGGAGAGGUAAGUGGAAUUCCUAGUGUAGCGGUGAAAUGCGUAGAUAUUAGGAGGAACACCAGUGGCGAAGGCGACUUACUGGACUGUAACUGACGCUGAGUCACGAAAGCGUGGGUAGCAAACAGGAUUAGAUACCCUGGUAGUCCACGCUGUAAACGAUGAGUGCUAGGUGUUGGCUAGCGAUAGUCAGUGCCGACGUAAACACAAUAAGCACUCCGCCUGGGGAGUACGGUCGCAAGACUGAAACUCA